UACGGGGGGGGCAAGCGUUAUUCGGAAUUAUUGGGCGUAAAGGGCGCGUAGGCGGCUUUGCAAGUGACGGGUGAAAUCCCUCGGCUUAACCGAGGAACUGCCUGUCAAACUGCAUGGCUUGAGACCGGGAGAGGUGAGUGGAAUUCCCAGUGUAGCGGUGAAAUGCGUAGAUAUUGGGAGGAACACCAGUGGCGAAGGCGGCUCACUGGACCGGUACUGACGCUGAUGCGCGAAAGCGUGGGGAGCAAACAGG
rnacentral:rRNA from 1 species